AUGACGAGCAAGCAGGAGCCCUGGACUCGACUUUCCCACAGUACGAAGUUACCAGGAUGGGUCGCGUACAAUCCAAGGACCAUGAGGCCUCCACCAUUGAGCGGCGACACCAAGCAAAUGAAGAUUCUAUCCUGGAAUGUCAAUGGGCUGAGAAAUAUUGAGGGUGAUGUUAAAGAUUUCAUGAACCUGAUACCUGGGUAUGAGUAUAAUUAUUGGUCAUGCAGUGUCGCGAGGCUUGACUAUUCAGGGACUGGAGUAAUUUCACGGGUAAAACCAAUCUCUGUCCAAUAUGGAAUUGGCAUAGCUGAACAUGAUCAGGAGGGCAGGGUUAUUACUUUGGAGUUUGAGAACUUUUACUUGGUGAAUGCUUAUGUCCCAAAUUCUGGCCGUGGUUUACGUAGACUGGUUUACAGGGUUGAUAGCUGGGAUCCAUCUUUCGCCGACUUUGUAGAAAAACUGGAAAGUUUCAAGCCAGUAAUUGUUUGUGGUGAUCUCAACUGUGCUCGUCAGAGUAUUGACAUUCACAAUCCUCCAGCCAAAACUGAAGAUGCAGGUUUCACAGAAGAAGAGAGGGAAUCAUUCCAGAUAAACUUUGAUAUGAGAGGCUUCGUUGAUACCUUCAGAAAGCAGCAUCCCAAGGCUGUGGGUUACACCUUCUGGGGUGAAAAUCAGCGGCGUAACGACAAAGGUUGGCGGCUGGAUUACUUUCUUGCGUCAGGAUCCAUCAUCGACAGGGUUCAUGAUUCGUACAUCCUCCCGGACGUGACAUCCAGCGACCACAGUCCAAUUGGCCUUGUGCUCAAGCUCUAG
rnacentral:rRNA from 1 species